GGAUGACAAUAGAUUACAAGACAAACGUAGAAAUGUUGACAGAUAACGA
rnacentral:guide_RNA from 1 species